GACGAACGCUGGCGGCGUGCUUAACACAUGCAAGUCGAACGAAGAGCGAUGGAAGCUUGCUUCUAUCAAUCUUAGUGGCGAACGGGUGAGUAACGCGUAAUCAACCUGCCCUUCAGAGGGGGACAACAGUUGGAAACGACUGCUAAUACCGCAUACGAUCUAACCUCGGCAUCGAGGAUAGAUGAAAGGUGGCCUCUACAUGUAAGCUAUCACUGAAGGAGGGGAUUGCGUCUGAUUAGCUAGCUGGAGGGGUAACGGCCCACCAAGGCGAUGAUCAGUAGCCGGUCUGAGAGGAUGGACGGCCACAUUGGGACUGAGACACGGCCCAGACUCCUACGGGAGGUAGCAGUGGGGAAUCUUCCGCAAUGGACGAAAGUCUGACGGAGCAACGCCGCGUGAGUGAUGACGGCCUUCGGGUUGUAAAGCUCUGUUAAUCGGGACGAAAGGCCUUCUUGCGAAUAGUUAGAAGGAUUGACGGUACCGGAAUAGAAAGCCACGGCUAACUACGUG
rnacentral:rRNA from 1 species